UACACACAUUGAAAUACCUUUUCCCGUAAGAUCAGCGAAGUUAAGCAAUCUCGGGCCGGGUCAGUGCCUAGAUGGGUGACACGUUGAGUAAUACCACGUGCUGUAA
rnacentral:rRNA from 1 species